GUUCCGUAGGUGAACCUGCGGAAGGAUCAUUAACGAUUUUGACCCUUCGGGGUCGAUCUCCAACCCUUUGUCUACCUUCCUUGUUGCUUUGGCGGGCCGUUGUUCGCUCUCACGAGCGACACCGCUGGCUUGACAGCUAGUGAGCGCCCGCCAGAGUCCAUCAAAACUCUGAUUCAAACCUACAGUCUGAGUAUAUAUUUUAAUAAAUUAAAACUUUCAACAACGGAUCUCUUGGUUCUGGCAUCGAUGAAGAACGCAGCGAAAUGCGAUAAGUAAUGUGAAUUGCAGAAUUCAGUGAAUCAUCGAAUCUUUGAACGCACAUUGCGCCCCUUGGUAUUCCGAGGGGCAUGCCUGUUCGAGCGUCAUUUCACCACUCAAGCUCAGCUUGGUAUUGGGUCAUCGUCUGGUCAAACAGGCGUACCUGAAAAUCAGUGGCGGUGCCCAUCCGGCUUCAAGCAUAGUAACUUUUAUCUUGCUUUGGAAGUUCCGGAGGGUUACACCUGCCAACAACCCCAAUUUUUUCAAUGAUUGACCUCGGAUCAGGUAGGAAUACCCGCUGAACUUAAGCAUAUCAAUAAGCGG
rnacentral:rRNA from 1 species